UGAAACAUCUAAGUACCCCGAGGAAAAGAAAUCAACCGAGAUUCCCCCAGUAGCGGCGAGCGAACGGGGAGGAGCCCGAUGAGUAGCGCGGGACACGAGAAAUCCUGUGUGAAUCCGGCGGGACCAUCCGCCAAGGCUAAAUACUCGCAAGAGACCGAUAGCGAACCAGUACCGUGAGGGAAAGGUGAAAAGACACUGCGAAAAGACAGAGUGAAAARGUUACCUGAAACCGUACGCCUACAAGCGGUCGGAGCACCUUCGGGUGUGACGGCGUGCCUUUUGCAUAAUGAACCUACGAGUUGUCGUCACCGGCAAGGUUAAGUGCUACGRAGCACGAAUCCGAAGCGAAAGCGAGUCCGAAUAGGGGCGGCUAGUCAGUGGCGGCAGACGCGAAACCAAGUGAUCUACCCUUGUCCAGGUUGAAGUCCGGGUAACACCGGAUGGAGGACCGCACCAAUAAGCGUUGAAAAGCUUCUGGAUGAGGUGAGGGUAGGAGUGAAAGGCCAAUCAAACUUGGAGAUAGCUCGUACUCCCCGAAAUGCAUUUAGGUGCAGCCUCGGGAGUUCCCUGCGUGAGGUAGAGCGACAAACUCCGAAUGCGCGCAGGUAAGAUCCCGGGAGUGAGGGCAUGGGUGCUAAGGUCCGUGCCCGAGAGGAGAAGAAUCCAGACCGCCGGCUAAGGCCCCGAAAUAUGGGUUAAGUUAAACUAACGAAGUUCGGUUCCUAAGACAGCUAGGAUGUUGGCUUGGAAGCAGCCAUUCAUUCAAAGAGUGCGUAACAGCUCACURGUCGAGRGUCCSKGCAUGGAUAAUAAUCGGGUAUAAGRCAGAYACCGAAGGCGCGGGAUAGCAGAGAAAUGAAAAGUAUCGGUAGGGGAGCAUACUCACAGCGUCGAAUGGUGUACGUAAGUUAUCCUGGAGCGGUGAGUAAAGCAAAUGUAGGAAUAAGUAACGAUAAGGAGGGUUAGAUUCCCUCCCGCUGUAAGACCAAGGUUUCCCGGGCAAUGCCAAUCAGCCCGGGGUCAGUCGGGUCCUAAGUCUAAGCCGAACGGCGAUGGCGAUGGCAGAGACGGUUAAUAUUCCGUCACUGCCGCAUGGGGCGACGUGGAGACGGAGCAGUGAAACCACCGCGGGGCGACGGAAGUCCCCGUUGAAGAGUGUAGGYGUUGAGGAUGGCAGGCAAAUCCACCAUCCGAGCUGAACUUGAKAGUAUGGAGUCUUCUUCGGAAGAAUCCAAUAGUGUGGGUAAUCAUACUCCCGAGAAAAUCCGCUAAGCUUAACCCAUGCGGCACCCGUACCGCAAACGGACACACGUGGUCGGGUAGAACAUACUAAGGCGUUGAGAGAUUCAUGGUUAAGGAACUAGGCAAAUUGACCCUGUAACUUCGGGAUAAAGGGUCCUCGUGAAGAGCGAGGCGCAGAGAAUAGGUCCAGGCAACUGUUUAAACAAAAACACAGGGCUGUGCAAACUCGAAAGAUGAGGUAUACAGCCUGACACCUGCCCGGUGCCGGAAGGUUAAGAGGAGAUGUCACACGCAAGUGGAAGCAUUGAAGUUGAAGCCCCGGUAAACGGCGGCCGUAACUAUAACGGUCCUAAGGUAGCGAAAUUCCUUGUCGGGUAAGUUCCGACCUGCACGUAAUGGUGUAAUGAUCCGGACGCUGUCUCAACCA
rnacentral:rRNA from 1 species